CGAAACUAUCCGAUUCUACAGAUUAUGACCGCUGUUUUGGGCCAUCGGCAAGAUCCUACAGAAUUUUCUGUCCGGAUUGCCAUCUUAUCAAAUAUUUCGAUGUUCCCGCGCCAGAUUCUUCCAGGCGGCCUCUGGCAUCUUCUAACCUUCCCGUCUUCAUCGGUGCAACAAAAAUCGGGAUGGCCACCAGAUUGAACCACUGUAGGUCCAGCCAUGUGUGGUUUUACUGCAAGCAGCGUAAAAAAGAGUGUUUAUUUGUAAAGUGAUGUGUUUUUAUCAAUAAAAAUUAAAUUAAUUUCAAUUCAA